UACGUAGGGUGCGAGCGUUGUCCGGAAUUAUUGGGCGUAAAGAGCUCGUAGGCGGUGUGUCACGUCGGCCGUGAAAACCUGCAGCUUAACUGUGGGCGUGCGGUCGAUACGGGCAUCACUGGAGUUCGGCGAGGGGAGGACUGGAAUUCCUGGUGUAGCGGUGAAAUGCGCAGAUAUCGAGGAGGAACACCGGUGGGCGAAGGCGGGUCUCUGGGCCGAUGAACUGACGCUG
rnacentral:rRNA from 1 species